rnacentral:snRNA from 1 species
GCGCUCCUUUACAGCACACGUUCUGAAAUUGAAACAGAGAAGGUUAGCGUGGCCCCUGCACAAGGAUGACGCGCAAGUUUGUGAAGCUUGCUUUCUUUCU